AGUGAACGCUGGCGGUAGGCCUAACACAUGCAAGUCGAACGGCAGCACAGUAAGAGCUUGCUCUUACGGGUGGCGAGUGGCGGACGGGUGAGGAAUACAUCGGAAUCUACUUUUUCGUGGGGGAUAACGUAGGGAAACUUACGCUAAUACCGCAUACGACCUACGGGUGAAAGCAGGGGAUCUUCGGACCUUGCGCGAUUGAAUGAGCCGAUGUCGGAUUAGCUAGUUGGCGGGGUAAAGGCCCACCAAGGCGACGAUCCGUAGCUGGUCUGAGAGGAUGAUCAGCCACACUGGAACUGAGACACGGUCCAGACUCCUACGGGAGGCAGCAGUGGGGAAGAUUGGACAAUGGGCGCAAGCCUGCUCCAGCCAUACCGCGUGGGUGAAGAAGGCCUUCGGGUUGUAAAGCCCUUUUUUUGGGAAAGAAAAGCAGCAGGUUAAUACCCCGCUGUUUUGACGGUACCCAAAGAAUAAGCACCGGCUAACUUCGUG
rnacentral:rRNA from 1 species